rnacentral:misc_RNA from 1 species
CAGAGUUGCAAAACUCCCAACCAUUGUGAACCUACCUCACCGUUGCUUCGGCGGGUGGCCCGGGGCAACCUAGGCCGCGCCGGCACCCUUCUUCGGGGGGCCCGGCAAGCCCGUCAGAGGACCGAAACCCUGUAAUUACUGGCCUCUCUGAGUAACUUAUACAAUAAGUCA